rnacentral:rRNA from 1 species
UACGUAGGGUGCAAGCGUUGUCCGGAAUCAUUGGGCGUAAAGCGCGCGUAGGCGGCCCCGUAAGUCCGCUGUGAAAGUCAAAGGCUCAACCUUUGAAAGCCGGUGGAUACUGUGGGGCUAGAGUCCGGAAGAGGCGAGUGGAAUUCCUGGUGUAGCGGUGGAAUGCGCAGAUAUCAGGAGGAACACCAAUAGCGAAGGCAGCUCGCUGGGACGGUACUGACGCUAAGGCGCGAAAGCGUGGGGAGCAAACCGG